rnacentral:lncRNA from 1 species
CACAUAAUUCAUACAUUUACAGAAACCCAGAGACCUAGAUACUCAGAAACCCAGAGACCCAUACAGUAGGCCCAUCGACCCACACACCCAGAGACCCAGAAACUCAGAAACCUAUCAAUACAGAGAUCUAGAGACCCAGAGACCUAGAAACCCAGAGACCUAGAAACCCAGAAACCUAACAAUACAGAGAUCUAGAGACCUAGAAACCCAGAGACCUAGAGACCCAGGGACCUAGAGACCCAGGGACCUAGAAACCC